rnacentral:rRNA from 1 species
UACAGAGGUCUCAAGCGUUGUUCGGAUUCAUUGGGCGUAAAGGGUGUGUAGGUGGCGCGCUAAGUCGGGUGUGAAAUUUCGGAGCUUAACUCCGAAACUGCAUUCGAUACUGGCGUGCUUGAGGACUGGAGAGGAGACUGGAAUUUACGGUGUAGCAGUGAAAUGCGUAGAUAUCGUCAGGAACGCCGAUGGUGAAGACAGGUGACUGGGCUAGUUCUGACACUGAGGCACGAAAGCGUGGGGAGCGAACGGG